rnacentral:rRNA from 1 species
GACGAACGCUGGCGGCGUGCUUAACACAUGCAAGUCGAACGGAAAGGCCCUGCUUGCAGGGUACUCGUGUGGCGAACGGGUGAGUAACACGUGUGUGAUCUGUCCUGCACUUCGGGAUAAGCCUGGGAAACUGGGUCUAAUACCGGAGAGGCGCCAUUUUUCGUGUGAUGGUUGGAAAGUUUUUUCGGUGUAGGAUGAGCUGGCGGCCUAUCAGCAUGUUGGUGGGGUAAUGGCCUACCAAGGAGGCGAAGGGUGGCCGGACUGCGAGGGUGAACGGCCACAUGGGGACUGAGAGAAGGCCGAGACGCCUACGGGAGGCAGCAGUGAGGGAUGUUGCACAAUGGACGACAGCCUGAUGCAGGGACGACGCGAGGAGGAUGACGGCCGGCAGGUUGUAAAAUCCUUGCGCUAUGGAAGAAGCUUUUAGUGACGGUACCUAGAUAAGAAGCACCGGCUAACUACGUG